GUUUGUUCCAGAUUUGCGGUGCAUAGAAGCUGAAUGCUGCUUCUCCAUGUUUGGUUCUGGUUGUGGGGAUCCAGAUUAGACCAGAACCAAAAGACCUGAGAGGUCUGGAAGGCUGAUAUGACAACAAUAACAAAUCUUUAAUGCAUUGUGAUGCCAAGUGAUUUGUCAACUAACGGAAGUAUUAUUGUGAUGCGAAAGUCUGAAGUGAAAAAACUGCUUGAUAAUUUAGACGUGUGUAGACACGUCUAAAUUACCCCUUUACCCCAUGCUCCUAAAAAAAUCCAGUGCAAUCCAUCCUUCAUUAAUCAUCCAAUAAGUAAUGAGAGUCUCACUGUGAGUUGUUGUUCUGAAGGCCUCAGAAGUUUAUCAGAGAACAAUAGAGGACCACCAGCAUCAUGGCAACCCAGCUCUUGGCCUAGGUCAUACAGAUGGUUGCUUAUUGUGGCAACUGCUGGAAUAAUUGAAAUAUAUAUAUAGCCCCCGAGGGACGGGCCUAAGGCACCAAAAUGGCCGGCGCAAGGAACACAGCAGACGGGUCAGAGAGAAAGUUAUUACAGAGUGCAUGGCACAGCUGCCAACGCUACAUGACUUGGCCUUCCACCAAAAAUGACAGGCAGGGAAAGGAGAUCAUUAACUGCAGAAGUAGCCAAGACCAUCAUUAUAAGCUGCAGAUAUCCACAACUCAGGUGGAAGAAUUUGGUCACAGGACCUCCAUUAGGCAUUAGGCUCCACAAAUCCAAUAAAAAAAAAAAAUUUGCUGUUGCUGAGAGAAACAUGGCGGUCACUGAGAGUUACAAUGAGGAGGUUUAUUGAUGUGCGUUCAGUCUGACUCAGUUUAAACUGUUUCACAAGAAGGAUGGAAGAAAUCUUUUGAUCUGUAGCUGUGCAAGGCAUGUAGAGACACCCCAAAAGACCAGCAGCAAGCUAACUAGCUAAUGGAAGUAAAAGGCAGUGAUGUUUUUAUUUGUGGAAAUUGUCAACAACACACAGUUUUCCUUCAUUUUCUCAUGAUCCAUGUUUUUCUGUGUCUUGUAUGUCGUCUGGUUUUAGCUUUCAGUCGUUUUUGGGGUUGUGACAUUGUGCAUUUCAUACCCGAUUUACUCUUUCGUCUUGUAAUGCGUAAUACUUCCUUCCUGUUCUUUGCUUUUGGUUCUGUUAACCAAUAGCAAAAAGUACAUAGCCCCUCGAUUCUUCACUUUCAGAUUAGUCUCACCUGGUUGUCAUUCAGUCAACCUUCCCAGCAGUUAACAGUCAGCCAGUUUCAUCAGAUUCUUUGAUGCUGGUUUGCCUGUGUUCCUGUCAACGCUGCUUUGCUGUUAGAAACCGCGUUUCCUUUACAGAAGUCCACAAAACCGUGUAUAUCCCACUAAUGUCAAAAACACACAAUUUUGCUGUUUUCUUAACUAAGGUACAGAAUUACAAUUCUACAUGAAUAUAUUUGUCAUUAAAAGUUAUGCUGCUCAAUGAUCCUCCAACCACUUCCUGUUCUUCUUCAUGGUUUAUGCCAGUGGCAACGUACGAUUGUUGAUUAUGUGAUACGAAAAAAGUGUCUCCGUUGCAGGUUUGCGAAAUAAACCAAAUACAAUAAAGCCAAAACGACCUCAUCCUAGCGACAAAACGUUUCAUCAAAAAACAGUUUCUGUUUCCGUUAAGCGAAUUUGUUCUCGAAAUGUCAAACUGCGCAAUGGAAACGCAGCUGGAGCCACAUUCUCCCCUGAUCCUCUCAUGCUUGUUCCUCCUCUUUUGUACAUUUCCUUUUAAAUCACCAUUAUCUGCAGCGUGAAACAGCCGCUCUCCAGCUUGCAUUUGGGUCCAACUCAUCAACGGAACAUGACACACUUUAAAAUUAUGCGCAACUUUGUGCUGGGGUAUCUCAGGGGUACCUGACGGCAGUCCUCGAGUUACUACGCUAAGACUUUUAGACGCUUCCCUCCUCCUGCACACCUGAAUCAAAUCAAUGGUUCAUUACUAGGCCUCUGCAGAGCUGAAUGACGGCUGAUGAGGGAAUUCAGCCGUUGGUUUCGGGGGUGUUCAAGAAGCGAAUGAGAGCGCUUUUCGAGGAGUGCACUUGAACAUUUUAACUCCUUAUUAUCAAAAGGAUCAGCUAAACAACCGCAGUAAAGGCAGAGUCAACACGUGACUGUGUCUCCGGUGCAAACACGACAGUUUCCUUGCUCCGCUGCAGCCCUGUGCCAUUUCAAACCCAAAGCAGCUCUUUCACUGUGUUUGUUGAGCAGUCUCUGUAGAAAUGUGGCCACAAACACUCUGACUUUCCCACAGUUACAGCACUUGUGAAAGUAUUCGGCCACUUGGAUGUCUUAUUCUUCUAUUGCUUUAUGUAGAUUUGUUAUACAUUUGUAUUUACUUGUCACUGAAAUCAGUUUUUAUUUCAACAUCAAUUUUUUUUGUCAUAAAGAUAAAAUUUUGUUGAUCAUGAUUGACUUAUUUGCAACAAAAAGAGUCAAACAUCCAAGGCGGUGAAUGCUUUUGUUAGCCGCUGUAUUGUGCGACACCACUCUAUUCAACGCAGCUGUAUAGAAAACUGUCUAAAUGUCAUGACCCCAUCCAUUUUUAGCCACGGAAAGUGAUUUUUCUUCAGUUGUUGUGUAGGAAAAAAAAUAAUAACUACAUGGUGGAAUACCAUCUGGGCAUUUUGUGGAGUUGCUGUGAAACACAAACAAAAAGAAAAAACAUUAUUUUGAAGCCAGAGGGGUUUGGAGAUGGAGAGCGACGUCAGCAUCGAUCUAGAAAGUUUGUCUCCCAUCUAGAGGUGGGUAGUAACUCAUUACAUUUACUCAGUUACAUUUAUUUGAGUGGCCAUGUUGUUGUGAUGACUUCCUGAAGGUUGGAAAGAGCAGGAGCUUCUUAAAGAGAGAGAGACGCCCAAUUUCAAAGCGAUAUACUGUAAAGUCAAAUUCCUUUCAAGCCAUGUUUGAUGUAUACCGCACUUUCAUAAUAACUGAACAUAACAUAGUUACUAGAACUAUGUGCAUAGAAAACCCAUAAUACUGCUGUUGGGGUUCUGGGGUUGUUCUCCCAUUCUUUGUCCACCAGAGGGGGCUGAGAGGCGUUUCUCCUGGAGGGUGUGUCCAUGAUGAUGCUGCACGCACCUGCAGCAUAUUCCUCAUCAGUGGACGGGUAUAUCAACAGGGAGCUGUUGGUACUUCGAUGCCUGAUUGUUGAUCAGUAAUGAUUUAUCCUUGUGCAGAACGAGACGAUUUACCUACCUACCUGUCUGCUCCUCCUCCUCCAUCGCCAACUCAGCCCGCCGACCCCGGAGCCUCAAAUUUCCCCCUAUACACCUGGACCUCCUCUUACAAGAUCCCCAGAGACCCAGCCAGGCAGUUCUCCGCUUCAGAACCCCCUUUCCAUUACCUGUUUGUUUUCAAUAAAUAUACACCUUUUCUA